GUGCACACAGUGUCGUAUCUUCCAUUCAAAGCUCUAAGUAUCUUCUUGAUGAUGAAUCUGUCGGUCAUCUCUUCGCUUCCUAAGCCGGCAAUCUAAUUUGUGAUGAGAGCUAGCCUAGAGUACAUCUCAGCGACUCCUUCAGCAUCCUUCAUCUUGAACUUGUCAGGCUGACUUCGAAGCAUAUCCAACUUAGAUUCUUUCACAUAAUCGGUACCUUCGCGCAUAUCAAUCAAAGUAUCCCAAAUUUCCUUUGCAUUCUCAAGGCGUCUGAUUUUGUUGAAUUCUUCGGGACACAAGCAGUUGAACAAGAUGUCAUAGGCUUGAGCAUUGAAUUACAACAUCUUCAAUUCUUCCGAUGUGGCAUCACGAUCCGGUUCUCUUUAUUCUUCGAAGAUAUCACCUCGC
rnacentral:lncRNA from 1 species